AUUGAACGCUGGCGGAAUGCUUUACACAUGCAAGUCGAACGGCAGCACGGGGCAACCUGGUGGCGAGUGGCGAACGGGUGAGUAAUACAUCGGAACGUGCCCAAUCGGUGGGGGAUAACGUAGCGAAAGUUACGCUAAUACCGCAUACGAUCUACGGAUGAAAGCGGGGGAUCGCAAGACCUCGCGCGAAUGGAGCGGCCGAUGUCAGAUUAGGUAGUUGGUGGGGUAAAGGCUCACCAAGCCAACGAUCUGUAGCUGGUCUGAGAGGACGACCAGCCACACUGGAACUGAGACACGGUCCAGACUCCUACGGGAGGCAGCAGUGGGGAAUUUUGGACAAUGGGCGCAAGCCUGAUCCAGCCAUUCCGCGUGCAGGAUGAAGGCCUUCGGGUUGUAAACUGCUUUUGUACGGAACGAAAAGGUCCUGGUUAAUACCUGGGGCUCAUGACGGUACCGUAAGAAUAAGCACCGGCUAACUACGUG
rnacentral:rRNA from 1 species